rnacentral:lncRNA from 1 species
UUUGUUAAGAUAUUUUAAAAUACAUAAGUGCCAUCGUCGUAUAGUUAAUCUAUUUUUAAUCCAAAAUAUAAUAAUAGACAUUUAACUGCAUGAUUGUGUAAAAAUAUUUGUAUGGAUACAUAGUUCAACUCAUAUUAAAAUUAAAAUUAAAUUGUGAUUUCGAAGCGGAAUUUCGCUGAUGGACAAAGAUGAUUAGUAUUGAUGAAGAACAGCGAAAUAUGGAGGAAUAACUUUUUAUGGAGUAUGCUUACAAAUAUUAUGUCGUCUAAGUAAGUGAAAGUUGAAAGAAGUAAGGAGUAUUUUAAAUUAAAAUAAAUUAUAUACUUUACACUCAACUACGUGACCUUUUAUACGAUAAAUUAUUUGAUGAAGUAUCUCCCAGUCUAUCAAACAGCUAAAAGAUCUUAGACGAGAUUCUAAGAUGAUCAUGCGAUAUUAAUCAAACGAUGAGAAUUUGAUUAUGACUAUACUCAAUUGUGAUGCAAAUGUAUGGAGUUAUGUUGCAUCGAAGCUGGUGGAUCUGCGAAGCAAUGAGCUGAGGCUCAUUUAACACAAGUCCAAUUAUUUUGAAAAAUAGUUCACUUUGAAACAAUUCAAAAAAAGAAUAUUUGUAAUGCAUUCUUAGUGCUAGACAUGCAAAAAGGAAUAAAAUAG